AGCACGGUGGCGCAGUUGGUAGCAGCAAGAACGUCGGUCCUGGGUUCGACUCCCGGCCGGGGGUCU